CACAGCUUCUUAUAGCUGUUGCUCGUGUGGACUUAAAGAAACUUAUUUUCAAAAAGCUAAUGUGUAGAUGGAGGAGUUGAAACCAUAGACUGUAAUAUA